UCCGCCCGCUCCACCGUCUCCUCCGCUCGUCGCCUCGUCGGCGCGCGUUGCGAUGCGCGGUGGUGCCGUACGGCUGUCCCCCGCCCCGCUAGCCGCUGCCGCCUCCCCGCUGCCGCAGGGCCGGGCCACAUGGCCCCCGGUGGUGGUGUACUGUUCGCCGGUACGUCCGUCUGCUCGGAGGAGGGGCAGGAUGAGGAUGAGGAGGUAGCGCAUCGGCGGCGGCGGCGGCGCGACGAUGCGGGCACCGAAAAGCGCGCGCGAAGCCUGUACUAAGCUCUACAGAAUGUGCUCUGGUUGGAAGGCUAUCUUAAACCGUGGCGUGUAACAGUUGGAGUUUACAUCCUGCAUCUUUCUGUACUUCGAAAAUGACUAAAGCUGGAGCCACUUGAGAUGAGAUGAUAGUGGGAAGCAUCUUUGAAUGGAAGUAUCAUGCUUUUUUAAUGAUGUGGACUGCUCAGGAAAAUCUUCUGUUCAAUCUAAUUCAUGCUGCUUGACCUUACAAGGUACCUCAAGCCCCAGUGAUGGUUGGUGCUCACCUAGGGCUAGCCUCAAGCUCCAGCUAGCUCCACCAACUUCAAUUUCCAGCAUCCAACAAGUACCCUACAUACACUAGAUUAUAUACAUAACAUGGUUGUGAUCGUGAUGGAGACGACGAUCCUGCUGCUGUCCUAGCUGCUACAAAAUCUUUAUUACUCCGAUGACGGAUGACGACGACGAUGAUUAUGAUGAGCCUUCUUCUCCAGCUUGCUAGAAGGCGAAUUCAGAAGUAAUAAGGAGAAGGGGUCCGAGACAUCAUCAACCUCCCCAUGGGGAAUACUGUUGUUUGCGUCUUUCGUUGUACUGCUCUCGUGUCUCCAUGUCUACGUGUGUUUGUAGUAUUGUGACCCACCCACGAGGCUUGUCGAUCGUUGGCUGCCGGCUGGAGAUACGCUGGCCAGCUGAUGGCCGAUGUACGUUAAUUGUCCGUCUUCUCUGCAUGUCUAAUCUAUCAAAUAUCUAUCC
rnacentral:sRNA from 1 species